UUGUCGUACACAGGUCCGACGAUGGUUCUGACGAUGCCUUCGACGGUCUGGACGCCGGGUUUCAGGGGACCGGAGUGGUUCUUGGCGUACUUGUGGAGGGAGGAGAGGCAAACGACCAUGUACACCGCGGCUACUUGGACGAAAUCAAGUGGAGCUUAGAGGAGAGCGUAAGGGAGAGGAGAUGAAUGGGUAUUUGAGCAAGGACUAGGCAGGCAGGGCAGGCCGUUAGCAACUAUUAGGAGGGUUUUCCGGUAAGAUGUGGAGACAAAAUGGUAAGCAGCUUAUGCGGUGGCCAUUGAAUGGGUUUAAUUAGUCAGUCCUCCUAUCGUUCAGGAAUCUUUUUCCUCUUUCUUAUGUUUUUUCUUAUUUUUCAAAUCAAGACAUCCUUUUCUUUUCUUGUAGCAGUAUGUUUUUUAAAUUACCAUCGAGCAGCUUUACUUGUAAUUUUUUAGUAUUAUUACUAAUCUUGGGCCUCACACAUCCCAAGUUAGGAAUAUGCAAAAGUAUCUUCUUCUUUUUUUAUUACAUGGCCCAAGUUAAAGCUCGUAUCUUUAGGCUUCUUGGUUUUAUAUUUUCUUAUUCUUGGGCUUAGGGGAGGGCUGUGCCCAUCUCUAACCCAUUCACUAAGAAUUAUUAUGAACUCCAUUUUAGUUGUUUAAGCUUAAUGGGUUUGUUGGAGGGGAGAGUGAUUAUUGCCAAACAUGUGUAUCUCUCUAUCUUAUAUUCAAUCCAAACAUGUGAUUUUGAUUUGUUUGUAGAAGUAAGAUUAAAUUGCUUAUAGAA